GACGAACGCUGGCGGCAGGCCUAACACAUGCAAGUCGAGCGGGGUUUUCGGACCUAGCGGCGGACGGGUGAGUAAUGCGUAGGAAGCUACCCGAUAGAGGGGGAUACCAGUUGGAAACGACUGUUAAUACCGCAUAAUGUCUACGGACCAAAGUGUGGGACCUUCGGGCCACAUGCUAUCGGAUGCGCCUACGUGGGAUUAGCUAGUUGGUGAGGUAAUGGCUCACCAAGGCGACGAUCCCUAGCUGGUUUGAGAGGAUGAUCAGCCACACUGGAACUGAGACACGGUCCAGACUCCUACGGGAGGCAGCAGUGGGGAAUAUUGGACAAUGGGCGCAAGCCUGAUCCAGCCAUGCCGCGUGUGUGAAGAAGGCCUUCGGGUUGUAAAGCACUUUCAGUAGGGAGGAAGCGUUGUGUGUUAAUAGUACACAGCGUUGACGUUACCUACAGAAGAAGCACCGGCUAACUCUGUGCCAGCCGCCGCCGUAAAAC
rnacentral:rRNA from 1 species